GCUUAGUUGUUGUUGUUGUUAUUAUCGUUGCUGAUGUUGCUUUCCUCUUAAUUUCAUUAACUACAAUACAUAAUUAAGUCUAUAUGCUUAUUAGAGAAUCUCCAUUAAUGCCCCUAUUGAACAUGUUCUGAAAAUGUUCAUUUUUUUAUAAGUUGCAAGCACAUUUUCAUUUAGGAAAAGGAAAACGUAAAGGAGUACCAUUGCUUCUUGUUUACAUGCAACCAAUGUACAUUAUGGUGCUACUGAUUAGUCAAUUGUGUUAUGCUG
rnacentral:misc_RNA from 1 species